AUACAAAGUCCAUAUGAACCAUUUCCCUUUCCCAGUUCUUAAAUACCCAUUUCCCAGCUUCUAGGUUUCUUCCGAUAGGUCCUCCGGUCUUGUCAGAUGUUCUCAGUGAAGUCUGAUUUUACUUCCGGGUUCUGCCUUCUCUGACAUGACCAUGCCCCUGUGCAGUGGCGUCAUGCAUUCCACGCAUGCGUUCCACCACGGUUGAUCCAUUC